AGAAAAUUGUUCCAAUCCCCAACGGCAUUGAAUCAAUGCAUCAAUCCAACUUUCCCAGCACUAGGUGUGGCCGUGUGGGGCUACUGCUUGUCUGCUUCUUAUCUUUUACAAAGUGGGAAGCAAGCCACUGGCUACAAUUAUUGGCGACUCUUGGUUAGGUUUACGGUUUACCCACUCCCCCCCCCCCCCCCCCCUCUCCUAUAUAUGGUACCUCGAGCUCACUGGUGAGCAGUAGUGCGCAAGCCCUUGGAGUUGGCUGGGAGGGCAAGGUAGACUUGUGAGGAAGUUGUAGUUGGGAUGGGAGGCUUGGGAAGAAAUUACUGGAACUCAUCCGAGUUAACCCGAAAUUUCUUUCCUAUUCCUCCCAUCCCUACUGAAUUUCCCAAGGUUUCUCCCUUUCCUAUUCCCAGUCCUUUGUUUUUCUCCUACGACAUCUGGUGCCGAACCGAACGUUCUACCUCUCUCCAGAUGAUAGAGAAGCUUAAUCUGAUGGAGAAAGACCCUCAUCAAGUUUAUGAAUAACGUAUAGCUGGUUUGAGGUCUACUGAUAGAUUAGACAAAAGCAUAGCAAAUAUGUAAAGCUUGCAAUGUAUGAGGUUAAUUAUCUUCAUGUCUUGUUAAUUUCCAGGCAAAAAGAAAUGCUUUCUUGGAAGUUUUAA